rnacentral:misc_RNA from 1 species
UUGCAUGCAUUUUAUUAGACUGUCGCUGGCCCUCUCUCAGGGGGGAGGGCAUGUGCACGUCCGUCCGCUUUUCUGUACACUUUCCUUACACACAACCCACACCUGUGCACCUAUUGUAGACCCCCUCGAAAGAGGGAUCUAUGUUUUCCAAUCACACCUAUCGUAUGUCCAUAGAAUGAAUUAUAAUUAUUA